AAUUACCCAGUCUGUGGUAUUUUGUUAUAGCAGCGCAUUCCCACAUGUUUUUUCCUGUUCCUGAUAGGGCAAACAAGCUGUGGCCAAUCAGCACCAAUACCAGGGACAGCUCCUUUCCCUAGGGCUUCCCCGUCAGGUUAGGUUCCCAAUUGUGAUUUUUAUUGCAAGGCUGACAUUUGUAGCUAGAAGAUUCUUCAAUCUCCCACCCUCAUUGUAGUUGAUUCAAUGUCUUUGUUAUUGUGAAUAGUGCUCCAGUGAACAUACAAGUGCAUGUGUCUUUUGGUAGAACCAUUUAUUUUCUUUUAGGUAUAUAACCAGUAAUGGAAUCACUGGGUCUAAU
rnacentral:lncRNA from 1 species